AGCUAUGGAAGAUAUGAAGUCAGUCUUGAGCAGGAUAGACAAGACUGGUGAGGGAGUCUGUGUUCAAGCAUCUACACUUGGUUCCUUGGAAGCAUUGUUGGAGUUUUUGAAGUCCCCGGCAGUGAGCAUUCCUGUUAGUGGAAUAAGUAUAGGACCCGUUCAUAAAAAAGAUGUCAUGAAAGCUAGUGUAAUGCUUGAAAAGAAAAAAGAAUAUGCCACUAUUUUGGCUUUUGAUGUUAAAGUGACUCCAGAAGCUCGAGAACUUGCUGAUGAGCUUGGUGUGAAGAUUUUUAUUGCUG
rnacentral:misc_RNA from 1 species